GACGAACGCUGGCGGCGUGCUUAACACACGCAAGUCGAGCGGUAAGGCCCUUUGGGGUACACGAGCGGCGAACGGGUGAGUAACACGUGAGUAAUCUGCCUUUGGCUUGGGAAUAACUUCGGGAAAUCGGGGCUAAUGCCUGAUGUUUACUGUCUGCUGCAUGGUGGGUGGUGGAAAGAUUUUUUGGCCAGGGAUGAGCUCGCGGUCUAUCAGCUUGUUGGUGGGGUAAUGGCUUACCAAGGCUUUGACGGGUAGCCGGCCUGAGAGGGUGUUCGGCCACACUGGGACUGAGACACGGCCCAGACUCCUACGGGAGGCAGCAGUGGGGAAUAUUGCGCAAUGGGCGUAAGCCUGACGCAGCGACGCCGCGUGGGGAGUGAAGGCCUCGGUUGUAA
rnacentral:rRNA from 1 species